GGUGAGUAACGCGUUGGUGACCUGCCCCAAAGUGUGGGAUAACAGUCCGAAAGGAUUGCUAAUACCUCAUGUGGCCAUCGGGUUUAGAAACCGAUGUCUAAAGCAGCAAUGCGCUUUGGGAGGGACCUGCGUCCCAUCAGCUAGUUGGUGAGGUAACGGCUCACCAAGGCGACGACGGGUAGGGGGCCUGAGAGGGUGGCCCCCCACAAUGGAACUGAAACACGGUCCAUACACCUACGGGUGGCAGCAGUAGGGAAUAUUGCACAAUGGGCGAAAGCCUGAUGCAGCAACGCCGCGUGAGCGAUGAAGGCCUUCGGGUCGUAAAGCUCUUUUCUGGGAGAUGAGAAAGGACAGUAUCCCAGGAAUAAGUCUCGGCUAACUACGUGCCAGCAGCCGCGGUAAAACGUAGGAGGCAAGCGUUAUCCGGAUUCACUGGGCGUAAAGCGCGUGCAGGCGGUUUGAUAAGUUGGGCGUGAAAUCUCCCGGCUCAACUGGGAGGGGUCGUUCAAAACUACCAGACUCGAGAGCGAUAGAGGAAAAUGGAAUUCCCGGUGUAGUGGUGAAAUGCGUAGAUAUCGGGAGGAACACCAGUGGCGAAAGCGAUUUUCUGGAUCGUUUCUGACGCUCAGACGCGAAAGCUAGGGUAGCAAACGGGAUUAGAGACCCCGGUAGUCCUAGCUGUAAACGAUGUGAACUUGGCGUUGGUGGCUUAAACUCCAUCAGUGCCGCAGCUAACGCGAUAAGUUACACCGACUGGAGACUACGGCCUGAGAGGUU
rnacentral:rRNA from 1 species